rnacentral:rRNA from 1 species
UAGGAGUNGNUCCUGGGCUCAGGGACGAAACGUUGGCGGGCGUGCCUUAACACNUGCAAGUCGAACGGGACCCGGGGGCAACUCUUGUUCAGUGGCGGACGGGUGCGUAACACGUGAGGAACAUGACCUUCGGCGGGGGAUAGCCGGCCCAACGGCCGGGUAAUACCGCGUACGACCACUUGGGGACAUCCCUAGGUGGUGAAAGCAGCAAUGCGCCGAUGGAGUGCCUCGCGGCCUAUCAGCUAGUUGGUGAGGUAACGGCUCACCAAGGCGACGACGGGUAGCUGGUCUGAGAGGAUGGCCAGCCACAUUGGGACUGAGACACGGCCCAGACUCCUACGGGAGGCAGCAGUGGGGAAUAUUGCGCAAUGGACGAAAGUCUGACGCAGCGACGCCGCGUGUGGGAUGACGGUCUUCGGAUUGUAAACCACUGUCGGGAGGGACGAAUACGCCGCAAGGCGGGUGACGGUACCUCCAAAGGAAGCACCGGCUAACUCCGUGCCAGCAGCCGCGGUAAUACGGAGGGUGCGAGCGUUGUCCGGAAUCACUGGGCGUAAAGGGCGCGUAGGCGGCCUGAUAAGUAGGGGGUGAAAUCUUGCGGCUUAACCGCAAGGCUGCCUUCUAAACUGUCAGGCUUGAGCACAGUAGAGGCAGGUGGAAUUCCCGGUGUAGCGGUGGAAUGCGUAGAGAUCGGGAAGAACAUCAGUGGCGAAGGCGGCUUGCUGGGCUGUUGCUGACGCUGAGGCGCGACAGCGUGGGGAGCAAACAGGAUUAGAUACCCUGGUAGUC